UUUGCAGUUAAAAUGUCUAAUCAUGCCCCAGCAAUCCUGGGUAUUAGCUGUCCCUCUGUCCUUUGUCUCUUCAGGCCAUUGGGGGUGUGGAGGCUGGCUAAGCCCUGGUUAAUAACCUGCUUGCCCUAUGGCGCUGGGCUGGGUUUGUAUUAAGCCCAGUGUCAUCGGAUGGACCAUACUGUGAGUGUGUGAAGCAUAACACCCACUGUCUGAGUGGGAAUUGUGGAAUUCCCUUUUGCCUCUGUUAGCAAUGUGUCCCGACGCUGGCAGAGUGGAAUGGAACAGGGGGGCUGAUCAUUGUUUCAGAAAUACACAGACAGCCAUGGGAAUGGGAAUGGGAGAGAGAGAGAGAGAGAGAGAGAGAGAGAGAGAGAUGGCGUGUGUAUGAGUGAUUGAGUGUCCAACAUGCAUCCUGCCACUGAGGUGCAUUUUUGGACAGAUUGAACACCUCUGUACGACUACUGUUUCAGACUGAUAGCAGCACCGUAGACCCUCAUCAUCAGACAGACACAGGGACACUGAUCCAAUCUGGCAAAAAUGAGCUUGGCUCGGAUCCAUGAUAAACACAAGCUAAAGAAAUACUGGGAGGAGAAAAUCGAAAGUCACAGCGAUAUAAUGGGGAGUGAGGAAUCCAGAAUAAAGAGCAGUGCUUUAUCAAAGCUGCGGGACGAGUGGCUCAGGAGGCUGAAGCUUCGGAACCAGCAGCUGGAGCGUUUUCAAGGAGAAACACAUCAGGAGGGCCAAGAUGUCCCAACAGACCUUCAAGAUACCCAGUCAAUGACUACUCCAAUCUACAUUCUAGAAUCUACAUCAUUCUAAGCCAUCUGACUGAGGUCAUGACACGUAGAUUAGCCUGGCUGCCAUCUCUUGUUCAGAUACUACAUUCCACUCAUUGCAACUCCUGUCAUUUGCCAAAGACAAUCUUUGGUAAAUGACGGGAGUGACAAGGAGUGGAUUGUUAGCUAAAAAAAAGACUGGUACUCAGACUAAUGAUGUAGGGUUAACUCGGACUAGCUUCUCAUUUCAGAUGAUGACAUUACGACUAUAGAUUGAGGGGAAAUACUGUAACUGAAGUGAAGUUUACUUCUUGAGAGGGAGACGGUAUGGCAGAAAGUCAAAUGGAUGGGAUGUUGCCGAAUGAUUAGUUGCAGAGCCAUGCUGUACAGACUUUGUCAUUAACACUCAUGUCGUAGUUUUGAGGCGACCAUCUGUUGUGCAGCUAAAUAAGUGCAGGGGAGUAUGUGAAGACUUGACUGUACAUCAGAGUGACAGUCGUGGUGACAGGUGGGGUAAUUAUUUGAUUUUGUGUCGGAGGAAUAUACAACGUGAUCGAGAGGAAACAUGAUGAAGAUUGACAGAAUAUGGUAUGUUGUUUUUUUUCAAGAAAGAAAAGUAUGGAAAGUUCAGAGGAACCAUAGAAAUGUGUUAAUGUCCCAAUUUCCGGGCUUAAAUAUAGAUAGAAUUUCAUCAUGUUUAACAUAAUUUAUCGGCAACAUUAAAAGAGAGGGGAAAGCAUCUCUUCUGAGGCAUGUGAAAUGUAAAGAACUCAUUUGUGUAAAAUAAAAAAAUGCAUGUGGCCAGUUU